AAAACAAAAUUAUAUUGAUAAUAAAGAGUUUUAUAUAUAGAUAUAUAGAUAGUUCAUCUAUAAAUAGGCUUAUACAUUUAGUGUGAUAAUUUAGUGUCACCUUCAUCCUCAGUGUUCAGUCUGAUCCAUGUAGAAUCCGGUUUGGCCUAGCUUCAAUAAGUAGC